AGUGAACGCUGGCGGUAGGCCUAACACAUGCAAGUCGAACGGCAGCACAGUAAGAGCUUGCUCUUACGGGUGGCGAGUGGCGGACGGGUGAGGAAUACAUCGGAAUCUACUUUUUCGUGGGGGAUAACGUAGGGAAACUUACGCUAAUACCGCAUACGACCUACGGGUGAAAGCAGGGGAUCUUCGGACCUUGCGCGAUUGAGUGAGCCGAUGUCGGAUUAGCUAGUUGGCGGGGUAAAGGCCCACCAAGGCGACGAUCCGUAGCUGGUCUGAGAGGAUGAUCAGCCACACUGGAACUGAGACACGGUCCAGACUCCUACGGGAGGCAGCAGUGGGGAAUAUUGGACAAUGGGCGCAAGCCUGAUCCAGCCAUACCGCGUGGGCGAAGAAGGCCUUCGGGUUGUAAAGCCCUUUUGUUGGGAAAGAAAAGCAGCAGGUUAAUACCCCGCUGUUCCGACGGUACCCAAAGAAUAAGCACCGGCUAACUUCGUG
rnacentral:rRNA from 1 species